rnacentral:rRNA from 1 species
CGACUCUCGGCAAUGGAUAUCUCGGCUCUUGCAUCGAUGAAGAACGUAGCGAAAUGCGAUACUUGGUGUGAAUUGCAGAAUCCCGUGAACCAUCGAGUCUUUGAACGCAAGUUGCGCCCAAGGCCAUUAGGCUGAGGGCAUGUCUGCCUGGGCGUCAUGCACAACGUCGCUCCACCCAUCAUAUCUCUCACCUUAGUCGGGUAAGGAAUUGAUGUAUGGAAGUGUACAUUGGCCCCCCGUGCCUUACAGGUGCGGUCGGCUCAAAAUUUGGCCCUCGGGGAUGAGCGUCACCAUCAGUGGUGGUUUAAAAACCCCUUUGUCAUUGACCGGAAUUGUGUUGACUCACCCCAUAUCAGGCUAUGCGGACCCUUGUCUGUCGUUAGCACGACAUUCAUUUUGCGACCCCAGGUCAGGCAGGAUUACCCGCUGAAUUUAAGCAUAUCAAUAAGCGGAGGAGAAGAAACUUACAAGGAUUCCCCUAGUAACGGCGAGCGAACCGGGAUCAGCCCAGCUUGGGAAUCGGAUGGCUAUGUUGUCCGAAUUGUAGUCUGUAGAAGCGUCCUCAA